rnacentral:rRNA from 1 species
UACGUAGGGGGCUAGCGUUGUCCGGAUUUAUUGGGCGUAAAGAGCGUGUAGGCGGUCAGGUAGGUCCGGUGUGAAAACUCGAGGCUCAACCUCGAGAUGUCAUCGGAAACCAUCUGGCUAGAGUCCGGAAGAGGAGAGUGGAAUUCCUGGUGUAGCGGUGAAAUGCGCAGAUAUCAGGAAGAACACCAAUGGCGAAGGCAGCUCUCUGGGACGGUACUGACGCUGAGACGCGAAAGCGUGGGGAGCGAACAGG